GGUUAGCUGGUCUGAGAGGAUGAUCAGCCACACUGGAACUGACACACGGUCCAGACUCCUACGGGAGGCAGCAGUGAGGAAUUUUGCGCAAUGGGGGAAACCCUGACGCAGCAACGCCGCGUGAGUGAUGAAGGCUUUCGGGUCGUAAAGCUCUGUCAAGUGGGAAGAAACCACGAGGUGAUAAUAUCGCUUUGUGCUGACGGUACCACUGAAGGAAGCACCGGCUAACUCCGUGCCAGCAGCCGCGGUAAUACGGGGGGUGCAAGCGUUAUUCGGAAUCAUUGGGCGUAAAGGGCGCGUAGGCGGUUUGUUAAGUCAGAUGUGAAAGCCCGGGGCUCAACCCCGGAAGUGCAUUUGAUACUGGCGGACUUGAGUAUGGGAGAGGGAAGUGGAAUUCCUGGUGUAGAGGUGAAAUUCGUAGAUAUCAGGAGGAACACCGGUGGCGAAGGCGACUUCCUGGACCAAUACUGACGCUGAGGCGCGAAGGCGUGGGUAGCAAACAGGAUUAGAUACCCUGGUAGUCCACGCAGUAAACGGUGAUCACUAGGUGUAGCGGGUAUUGACCCCUGCUGUGCCGCAGUUAACGCAUUAAGUGAUCCGCCUGGGGAGUACGGCCGCAAGGUUAAAACUCAAAGGAAUUGACGGGGGCCCGCACAAGCGGUGGAGCAUGUGGUUUAAUUCGACGCAACGCGAAGAACCUUACCUGGGUUUGACAUCUCGGGGAUUUUUUGGAAACAAGAAAGUGCCCUUCGGGGAGCCCGAAGACAGGUGCUGCAUGGCUGUCGUCAGCUCGUGUCGUGAGAUGUUGGGUUAAGUCCCGCAACGAGCGCAACCCUUAUCUUUAGUUACCAUCACUUCGGGUGGGGACUCUAAAGAUACUGCCCCGGUCAACGGGGAGGAAGGUGGGGAUGACGUCAAGUCCUCAUGGCCUUUAUGCCCAGGGCUACACACGUGCUACAAUGGGCGAUACAAAGGGUAGCGAGCCUGCGAAGGUGAGCCAAUCCCAAAGAGUCGUUCUUAGUUCGGAUUGGAGUCUGCAACUCGACUCCAUGAAGCUGGAAUCGCUAGUAAUCGCGGAUCAGCACGCCGCGGUGAAUACGUUCCCGGGCCUUGUACACACCGCCCGUCACACCAUGAGAGUUGGUUGUACCAGAAGUUGUUGGGCUAACCCGCAAGGGAGGCAGGCACCUAAGGUAUGGCUGAUGAUUGGGGUGAAGUCGAAACAAGGUA
rnacentral:rRNA from 1 species